rnacentral:rRNA from 1 species
CGGCGGACGGGUGAGUAACACGUGGGCAACCUACCUUGUAGAUUGGGAUAACUCCGGGAAACCGGGGCUAAUACCGAAUAAUCCAUUUUUGCUUCAUGGCGAGAUGUUGAAAGACGGUUUCGGCUGUCACUACAAGAUGGGCCCGCGGCGCAUUAGCUAGUUGGUAGGGUAAUGGCCUACCAAGGCGACGAUGCGUAGCCGACCUGAGAGGGUGAUCGGCCACACUGGGACUGAGACACGGCCCAGACUCCUACGGGAGGCAGCAGUAGGGAAUCUUCCACAAUGGACGAAAGUCUGAUGGAGCAACGCCGCGUGAGUGAAGUAAGGUUUUCGGAUACGUAAAACUCUGUUGUAAGGGGAAGAACACGUACGAGAGUAACUGCUCGUACCUUGACGGUACCUUAUUAGAAAGCCACGGCUAACUACGUG